rnacentral:rRNA from 1 species
UACGGAAGGCAGCAGUGGGGAAUAUUGCACAAUGGGCGCAAGCCUGAUGCAGCCAUGCCGCGUGUAUGAAGAAGGCCUUCGGGUUGUAAAGUACUUUCAGUCGUGAGGAAGGUGUUAAGGUUAAUAACCUUAGCAAUUGACGUUAGCGACAGAAGAAGCACCGGCUAACUCCGUGCCAGCAGCCGCGGUAAUACGGAGGGUGCGAGCGUUAAUCGGAAUUACUGGGCGUAAAGGGCACGCAGGCGGUUAAUUAAGUUGGAUGUGAAAUCUCCGGGCUUAACCUGGGAAUGGCAUUCAAGACUGGUUAGCUAGAGUCUUGUAGAGGGGGUAGAAUUCCAUGUGUAGCGGUGAAAUGCGUAGAGAUGUGGAGGAAUACCGGUGGCGAAGGCGGCCCCUGGGACAAAGACUGACGCUCAUGUGCGAAAGCGUGGGGAGCAAACAGGAUUAGAUACC